GAGGCUUGUUUACCUGCACAUCUACCCAUGUGAUAUAUGCCAUCAUGUGCCGGCAAUGCCCCUCUGCUAUGUACAAUGGUCAAACCAGACAGCCUUGAACCCAUGACCAUCCUUCCUCCUUCAAACCACUCAUAGCUGUAGAUGCUGCUGCGGCCUCAACUGACUAUGUUGAAGUAUAUCUCAAGAAACGCAACAGUUUCUGAUGAUCCUGACAAAGAUAAGUGGUAUUCAGCAGUUUAAACUGAAAGUGGAUUUUUAAAUUAAGGCACAAUUUUAAGGAUGGGGAAUUGUAUAACUCUAAUAUGUGCCAACACCGGGGAUAUGCACUGCAUUUAUCUACAUGCCACUUGCUGUUUGGCCAUGUCCUCAACCUCUGGAGUCCCUCAGACAUCCACCUAGGACAUACUAUCAGCUUCAUUUUCAAGGUUGGGGGCCAACUCUUCAGGAAUAGCUUUUCAGCAUUCAGCAGAGUUCAAAGGGUAAAGAUGACCCUCAAACAUGACUACAAGCCACCCUGCUGGGCCCUGGGAAGCAGCCAGUCAGGGCCCAGCAGGCUAGUAUAAAAACAGCUGCAUGGCCACAAUGAAUUGUGUUCCUUGCUAGAGAAGAGUGGCUGGUGCUCUGUACUGGCUGCUGGACCUCUACCAGGACAAAGCCCUGAGAUAAGGGUGAAGAAUGUGCUGGAGUCACGGGGAAGUAGCCCAGGGAAUUGUAGCAGCAACAUAGUGUAUUUAAAGGGACAUGCAGAUGGCUGCUAUCUAUAGGAUCACUGGGCUAUGACCCAGAGUAGAGGGCAGGCCUGGGUCCGCCCCCGCCACAAGCCACUGGAAAAGUGGCCUAGACUUUGAGGCACCCCAGAAGGGGAACUGAACUGUAGUAGCCCAGCUGAAGAACUGGGGCCAGAAAGGCUCUGAGGGGUGAAGACACUGCCUCCAGGGAAGGAGCCCUGAGGCAUCACUCUAUUCCAGAGCAGGGACAAACUGAGAGAGACAGCACAGAAGGUACUGAGAGAAGUCCCGAUUGGACCUGUACCCCCAAAGGGGUUUGCCUUGUUUUUAUAUCACAGACAGACUGUGUCUGACUUGGCUGGAGGGCUGAGUCACCGAAGACCCACCACAAACAGAGAGAGAGUGUGCAGGCACACACAUUCGGGCAAGGGGCACACAUAAGAGGUGAGUGUGACCCUGUUACAACAUACUAUAUAAUGCUGAACAAAACCCAAAUUCUUUGAAGUGGAACUAUUUUCUAAGUACUGCAUAAAAACAUUUUUUAUUUGACUCCUGGGCAUGAUUCAACAGCUAUUUUCUAACAUCAAAAGGUGUACCCACACAGUGGUCUCUUCCCUGUGGACAAUGACCUAUUAACAUUUAUAUAGCUGUUCCUAUCUCAGACUUAUAUUAAUCUUUCAGACGGGGCUAAUGUUUCCAGGGCAUCUCUGCAUUCCCUUGGCUAAUUGUUAGUGUAAUCAAAGUAUGACAUUUCCACAAAUUCCAAUUUCCUCUUACUCGUUAUUCAUAUCAAAUAUGAUUUUCAUGUUGACCCCAACACUGUCUUUGCAUGGAAAGACUUAACAUAAUUGCUUUUGCCUGGUGCAAGUAAGAGAGACUGCUGCUAACAUUAUCUGUGAGUUAGUUUGGUCUGGCCUGGUCCUACUCUAAAGCAAGCAAGUUAAAUCACUGCAGAGGAACAGGAAUCAGGCUACAGGAAAGAACUGAGAGAAUACAGUGUUUUAAUUCUGCAUCUUGGAUUCAUGGCCACACAGCAGCUACUUUGUGGAUCCAGGCAAUGAAGGAUUACUCUGCCUCCCCUUCUAACCUCUCUACCCCUUUUGCUUUAUUCGUAAAUUGAUUCAUUUUCUGGCCUGCCACAAGGGCUCCAUGCGCUGCUUGCACUUUAUAGACCACAGUUUGAGAAGCUCUGUGCUAAAGAAAAGUAAAAAUAGAUGUAUUUUGAAACAGUAAUGAAGUAACUUCAAAUUUAUUCAUACACUAUUCCAUGAUAAUGGCUCCAUCCUUCUGCUGCAUUUAACAACAUUGGUCAGGGUGUCCUUUUGGAAUGUUUAAAAUGGAUGGUAAGGCUAGCUAUAACUGUCUGUCUUGAUUCAAAAUAUAUCUGAGAGAUAGUUCCCAAUGUCUUAGCAUCAUAAAUAUUUAGGUUCUUCUCCUCAGGUUCACUGUCCUGGCUUUUUUAUUAAUUAUUAUUAUUAUUCCUUGGUGAAGGGGAGCAGUAUACCAUUGGAGCCCCAGCGACCUAGUUAAUCACUGCAGAUGAAGUCAGGCUGAAAUUCCAUCAGCUCAGUAGUAUUUAGCUAUUUAAAAAAAAAACCACACACACACCAAAGCAACCAAAUGUGGUAGAUAAAAAGGCAUUACGAUGUAAAGCAUAUUAGGAGCUUUUGGUUCCUGUUGUUGAUAUAUGCACAGGUUAACUCUAGACCUUAGAGACAUAUAAUACCCUGUUACUGUUUCUAAGGGUAGGCUUAAGACUUGCUUUAAAGGUUAAUCUGGUUCUUGUUUACAACUAAGCACUACUUAAGCUCAAAAAGUUUAUAAACUUGAAGAUUCAUUAAAAUGGGUCCAUCCAGUAGAUUUAUUCAGGAUUUUCUAGCUCUAAUUGUGUGCUUUAAAAAAAUGUCGAACUUGCCUACCGUUACACUGGAUCUAAUUUUAUUUUAUACUGAAUAUAAAUCUCAUACUAUAAAUAUGCACUCUAAAAGAAGUUCAAUCAAUAGCAGCAAAGAUAAAUGGCACUUUAGUCAUAUUAACAACAACACAGUAAAAUUAUUGUUACUUUAGUAAGUACCCAUUAGUUACCUUUGGGUAGGUAGACAGUAACUAUCCUGUUGUAGCGGUUAACAGGAGCUUUUCCAAUGUAUGAUCAGCACACAGAAAACCAAACCAUUUUAAUCCUCACUGGGAUUUUCUGAAUGCAUUCAAGUGUUCUUUUGUUAGCUAUACUCUAUAUCAUUUCUGCACACACAAAGGAACACAUAUUGUGUUCACAUACAUUAGCUUGACCUAGCUUUUGAAAAUUCUGUCAGUCAUUUUCCUGAUCACAAUCAUCUACUUUCUUGAAAGCCUUUUGACUUCACAGGGAAUCACUACAACGUAGUAGGGAAUGGGGAAAGGACAUUUCCAUUUAAGUAAACACACAUU
rnacentral:lncRNA from 1 species